rnacentral:ncRNA from 1 species
CCACGUCUUGGUCCUAAACUGACAGUUACUUGACACCAGGGUAACACAUGUAAGCCUCCACACCCCAGUGAGUGUGCCCACCAGCGGAGCCGGUAUCAGGCGCACUCACUUGUAGCCCAUAACACCUAGCCCAUGCCACACCCCCACGGAACUCAACAGUGUUUAACCUUAAGCCAUGAUCCAAAGAUCGACUUAGCUAUGGUACACCAGGGCCGGUAAACCCCGUGCCAGCCACCGCGGUUAUACGGGGGACCCAAAAUAACUGCUUACGGCGUAAACAGUGACUAGAAGACCCAAACGCAUCCUCAGGAGUUAACACCCAAUAUAGCUGUAAUAAACAAAUACUAACAAGAACCCCCACCAAACUCCCCAAAGAAGGCCCCCUUUGAACACACUAAAGCCAGGACACAAACUAGGAUUAGAUACCCUACUAUGCCCGGCCAUAAACCUAGAUGGCAGCAAUUACACAACCAUCCGCCAGAGAACUACAAGCAAAAGACUUAAAACUCAAAGGACUUGACGGUGUCCCAAACCCCCCUAGAGGAGCCUGUCCUAUAAUCGAUAACCCACGAUACACCCAACUUCCCCUGGUAAAAUCAGCCUAUAUACCGCCGUCGACAGCCCACCCUAUGAAGGAUCCCACAAUGAGCACAAUAGGACUCCACCCUAAAACGUCAGGUCAAGGUGUAGCUAACGGAGAAGAAGAGAUGGGCUACAUUUCCUAUAAUAGGAAACCAACCAAAAGUGACAUGAAAUAGACACCCAAAGGAGGAUUUAGCAGUAAAUCAGAGAUAAUAUAAUCACCUUGAACCCGGCUCUGGGCCGCGUACACACCGCCCGUCACCCUCUCCCACUCACUAAAUCAACAGUACAUAAAUACCACCACCACCCAAGGAGAGGUAAGUCGUAACAUGGUAAGCGUACCGGAAGGUGCGCUUGGAAAACC